rnacentral:rRNA from 1 species
UACGUAGGGGGCUAGCGUUGUCCGGAAUCAUUGGGCGUAAAGCGCGUGUAGGCGGCUUUGCAAGUCGGGUGUGAAAUCCCACGGCUCAACCGUGGAAGUGCAUUCGAAACUGCGAGGCUAGAGUCCUGGAGAGGAAGGUGGAAUGCUUGGUGUAGAGGUGAAAUUCGUAGAUAUCAAGCGGAACACCGGUGGCGAAGGCGGCCUUCUGGACAGUGACUGACGCUGAGACGCGAAAGCGUGGGGAGCAAACAGG